rnacentral:rRNA from 1 species
UACGUAGGGGCCUAGCGUUGUCCGGAAUCAUUGGGCGUAAAGCGCGUGUAGGCGGCCCGGUAAGUCCGCUGUGAAAGUCCAGGGCUCAACCCUGGGAUGCCGGUGGAUACUGUCGGGCUCGAGUCCGGAAGAGGAGUGUGGAAUUCCUGGUGUAGCGGUGAAAUGCGCAGAUAUCAGGAGGAACACCAAUGGCGAAGGCAGCACUCUGGGACGUGACUGACGCUGAGACGCGAAAGCGUGGGGAGCAAACAGG